rnacentral:sRNA from 22 species
CUCCAUGCCACAUCCUCGCGACUAACGACAGGUCUUACUCCCUUAAGCACUCUCAUUAGCCGCGCGAACCUCUGUAACUGAAGAGCCUAAACAAAAACCACCACCAGCAUUUUUGUGCUGUUAUCUAUGAUGGCUUCUCAGAAGAAAAGGGGCCCUAUAUGGCCCCUUUC